GAGUUUGAUCCUGGCUCAGAUUGAACGCUGGCGGCAUGCCUUACACAUGCAAGUCGAACGGCAGCAUGAUCUAGCUUGCUAGAUUGAUGGCGAGUGGCGAACGGGUGAGUAAUACAUCGGAACGUGCCCUGUAGUGGGGGAUAACUAGUCGAAAGAUUAGCUAAUACCGCAUACGACCUGAGGGUGAAAGUGGGGGACCGCAAGGCCUCAUGCUAUAGGAGCGGCCGAUGUCUGAUUAGCUAGUUGGUGGGGUAAAGGCCCACCAAGGCGACGAUCAGUAGCUGGUCUGAGAGGACGAUCAGCCACACUGGGACUGAGACACGGCCCAGACUCCUACGGGAGGCAGCAGUGGGGAAUUUUGGACAAUGGGCGAAAGCCUGAUCCAGCAAUGCCGCGUGUGUGAAGAAGGCCUCGGUGU
rnacentral:rRNA from 1 species